rnacentral:misc_RNA from 1 species
CUUUCUUUGGUUAUCGCGUUAUUGACGGAUGAUGGUGAUGAUUGACCAACCAACUGUGUGAUCAUCAUCAUCAUCAUCAUCACAAAAAUACAUCCAUCCAACAUUGUUUUUUAUCUGACGAAUGACAGUGCAACCAACCAAACAGCUACACCGCCUCCGUAAAUGUUACAACGACGACCUUCAUUCAUCAAUGAUCCUUCCGCAGGUUCACCUACGGAAA